UGAGUUUGAUCCUGGCUCAGAUUGAACGCUGGCGGCAUGCCUUACACAUGCAAGUCGAACGGCAGCGCGGGGCAACCUGGCGGCGAGUGGCGAACGGGUGAGUAAUAUAUCGGAACGUACCCAAGAGUGGGGGAUAACGUAGCGAAAGUUACGCUAAUACCGCAUACGAUCUAAGGAUGAAAGUGGGGGCUCGCAAGACCUCAUGCUCGUGGAGCGGCCGAUAUCUGAUUAGCUAGUUGGUAGGGUAAAAGCCUACCAAGGCAUCGAUCAGUAGCUGGUCUGAGAGGACGACCAGCCACACUGGGACUGAGACACGGUCCAGACUCCUACGGGAGGCAGCAGUGGGGAAUUUUGGACAAUGGGCGCAAGCCUGAUCCAGCAAUGCCGCGUGAGUGAAGGAGGCCUUCGGGUUGUAAAGCUCUUUUGUCAGGGAAGAAACGGUGGGAGCUAAUAUCUCCUACUAAUGACGGUACCUGAAGAAUAAGCACCGGCUAACUACGUGCCAGCAGCCGCGGUAAUACGUAGGGUGCGAGCGUUAAUCGGAAUUACUGGGCGUAAAGCGUGCGCAGGCGGUUAUGUAAGACAGUUGUGAAAUCCCCGGGCUCAACCUGGGAAUUGCAUCUGCGACUGCAUAGCUAGAGUACGGUAGAGGGGGAUGGAAUUCCGCGUGUAGCAGUGAAAUGCGUAGAUAUGCGGAGGAACACCGAUGGCGAAGGCAAUCCCCUGGACCUGUACUGACGCUCAUGCACGAAAGCGUGGGGAGCAAACAGGAUUAGAUACCCUGGUAGUCCACGCCCUAAACGAUGUCAACUGGUUGUUGGGUGCAUUAGUACUCAGUAACGAAGCUAACGCGUGAAGUUGACCGCCUGGGGAGUACGGCCGCAAGGUUGAAACUCAAAGGAAUUGACGGGGACCCGCACAAGCGGUGGAUGAUGUGGUUUAAUUCGAUGCAACGCGAAAAACCUUACCUACCUUUGACAUGUACGGAACUCGCCAGAGAUGGCUUGGUGCUCGAAAGAGAACCGUAACGCAGGUGCUGCAUGGCUGUCGUCAGCUCGUGUCGUGAGAUGUUGGGUUAAGUCCCGCAACGAGCGCAACCCUUGUCAUUAGUUGCUACGAAAGAGCACUCUAAUGAGACUGCCGGUGACAAACCGGAGGAAGGUGGGGAUGACGUCAAGUCCUCAUGGCCCUUAUGGGUAGGGCUUCACACGUCAUACAAUGGUACAUACAGAGGGCCGCCAACCCGCGAGGGGGAGCUAAUCCCAGAAAGUGUAUCGUAGUCCGGAUCGCAGUCUGCAACUCGACUGCGUGAAGUCGGAAUCGCUAGUAAUCGUGGAUCAGAAUGUCACGGUGAAUACGUUCCCGGGUCUUGUACACACCGCCCGUCACACCAUGGGAGCGGGUUCUGCCAGAAGUAGUUAGCCUAACCGUAAGGAGGGCGAUUACCACGGCAGGGUUCGUGACUGGGGUGAAGUCGUAACAAGGUAGCCGUAUCGGAAGGUGCGGCUGGAUCACCUCCUUUCU
rnacentral:rRNA from 1 species